rnacentral:rRNA from 1 species
GAUGAACGCUGGCGGCGUGCCUAAUACAUGCAAGUCGAGCGAACGGACGAGAAGCUUGCUUCUCUGAUGUUAGCGGCAGACGGGUGAGUAACACGUGGAUAACCUACCUAUAAGACUGGGAUAACUUCGGGAAACCGGAGCUAAUACCGGAUAAUAUUUUGAACCGCAUGGUUCAAAAGUGAAAGACGGUCUUGCUGUCACUUAUAGAUGGAUCCGCGCUGCAUUAGCUAGUUGGUAAGGUAACGGCUUACCAAGGCAACGAUGCAUAGCCGACCUGAGAGGGUGAUCGGCCACACUGGAACUGAGACACGGUCCAGACUCCUACGGGAGGCAGCAGUAGGGAAUCUUCCGCAAUGGGCGAAAGCCUGACGGAGCAACGCCGCGUGGGUGAUGAAGGUCUUCGGAUCGUAAAACUCUGUUAUUAGGGAAGAACAUAUGUGUAAGUAACUGUGCACAUCUUGACGGUACCUAAUCAGAAAGCCACGGCUAACUACGUG